rnacentral:rRNA from 1 species
UACGUAGGGGGCGAGCGUUGUCCGGAGUUACUGGGCGUAAAGGGCGUGCAGGCGGUGCGGUAAGUUUAGCGUGACAGUCUCCGGCUUAACUGGAGAAGGCCGCUGAAAACUGCUGGACUUGAGGGCCAGAGAGGGACAUAGAAUUCCGGGUGGAGUGGUGAAAUGCGUAGAUAUCCGGAGGAAUACCAAAGGCGAAGGCAGUGUCCUGGCUGGCAACUGACGCUGAGGCGCGAAAGCGUGGGGAGCAAACAGG